AAUAGAUACCCGGGUAGUCCAUGCCGUAAACGUUGGGAACUAGAUGUGGGGACCAUUCCACGGUCUCCGUGUCGCAGCUAACGCAUUAAGUUCCCCGCCUGGGGAGUACGGCCGCAAGGCUAAAACUCAAAGGAAUUGACGGGGGCCCGCACAAGCGGCGGAGCAUGCGGAUUAAUUCGAUGCAACGCGAAGAACCUUACCAAGGCUUGACAUACACCGGAAAGGUCUGGAAACAGUCCCCCCGCAAGGCCGGUGUACAGGUGGUGCAUGGUUGUCGUCAGCUCGUGUCGUGAGAUGUUGGGUUAAGUCCCGCAACGAGCGCAACCCUCGUUCUAUGUUGCCAGCGGUUCGGCCGGGGACUCAUAGAAGACUGCCGGGGUCAACUCGGAGGAAGGUGGGGAUGAGGUCAAAUCAUCAUGCCCCUUAUGUCUUGGGCUUCACGCAUGCUACAAUGGCCGGUACAAAGGGCUGCAAUCCGUAAGGUGGAGCGAAUCCCAAAAAGCCGGUCUCAGUUCGGAUUGAGGUCUGCAACUCGACCUCAUG
rnacentral:rRNA from 1 species